rnacentral:lncRNA from 1 species
CUGACACCUCUGUCAGUCUGGGAACCUGGGAAAACACUUGUUGCCAGCAAAACAUUUUUGUAAAGCUGUAGAAACUUAAAUCCUGAGGGGUUCCUGCUCUUUCCCUUAUAGGAGUAGGGUUCCUUUCUGUGUAAAGUUGAGGAUUACCUGUCUGUGUCUCUACUUUUCACACCCUCCUGGAGAGAGCAGCUAGAACAGCCAGGCUCCUGUGAUUUCACCUCGACUUUUAAACCAUCUGGGCCACUGUGGAGCUCCUCUUAAUCAAAGGGAAGCCUUCAAAAGGAAAAGCCUGUGAAGCCCCCUCUUCAAAGCUUUCUUUUUUGGAGUUGUCAUGCCAAAGGAGGAUUUAAUUAGGGUUCUGUAUGUGCAUUUCCAAUGGAAAUGGUCACACUUGGGCCACCAUGCUAGAUAAAACUUCUUUAAAGCACCUGAGAGAGAGAGAGAGAGAGAGAAAGAACACCUCCAGAGAGCAGCCUGCUGAUAGAACCUACUUCUAA